GAGCCUGGCUUCAUCUACCUCUGCUUCUGCUCCACAUGAACCAACACGCACUAGUUUUCCUGCUCUCCAUCUCCCUCCUCUGGACAAAACUAGGGCUGCACCUCAACAGCUGCCUUCCCAGAGCCUCAGCCAAUCACAUGACAGAAACAUCAGCCAAUCUCGUAGAUCACAACCCACAGAGACGACGCCUUCAUCGAUUAAUAAACAACGCCUUACUGAGCGUCUGAGCAGCCCUCUCUCAUAAAGGAAGGCCCAUUUUCAAACAGUGUUGUCCCUGAAAUGAAAUGUCUACCAAAUGUACUCCAACUGGAGCCACUUUACAGUCCUCUGCUGAGGAAAAACCAGUCACUUAGAGGUCUUGACCCCGGCCCCACCUCCACAGAGGCUGACUGAGGCAGAGAUUCCUCUGUGGAAAGUACUAGAAGGAAGAGUGAGAAAGAUUCACCUGACAAAAUCUAUGCCAAGACGGUUAUUACACAAGAGUACAUAAAACCUUUGUGCAGAGGCUCAAACAGAGAAGAUUCUUCUGAGAAAGACACUCAUAAGAAGCAAGAACAACUGACAAAAGAUUCAGAAAGUCGUCAGAUCCUCCCACCCCCUGCUCAGCCUGGUUCACCAUCAGUUAAAGAGGAGCCCAA